AAAAACAAAAACAAAAACUGGAAGAUAUAUCAACCCUAGCUGAUCACAUUCUCUAAAUCCUCUAACAGGCAUCUCUAUGUUUCUGCCAACAAGAAGCCUCAGCCAAACGAAUAAUUACUGUAAUUUUAAAGCAAUGUCAAACACAGGUAUAAUAACAUCUCAAGCUAAACCUCAGCAACUUCUACAAGUUGUUUCUGUUCUAUAAUAACAUAAUCAUCGGUUUGUCAUGGAACAAUCAACUGUGUGAAUAUACAACAUAAAGAUGUUGUCCAAGUCCCAGAAUUUGCGAAAUACCAGUUUUACCAGGAUGAUUGUGGCUGCCAAUGCUCUGUGAACAGGGAUAAAAGGGAAACUCAGGCAUGGUACUGAACAAUAAUGGCCUCAAACAAUGUCAAGCAGAGGAUCAUGAUUCUUCAAGGAUAGCACGUCCAAGAUUUGUGGCAAGAGCUAGU
rnacentral:misc_RNA from 1 species